UACGGAGGGUGCAAACGUUGCUCGGAAUCAUUGGGCGUAAAGCGCACGUAGGCGGCCUGAUACGUCGGGUGUGAAAGCCCUGGGCUCAACCCAGGAAGUGCACUCGAAACUGUCAGGCUUGAAUAUGGAAGAGGGUCGCGGAAUUCCCGGUGUAGAGGUGAAAUUCGUAGAUAUCGGGAGGAACACCAGUGGCGAAGGCGGCGACCUGGGCCAAUAUUGACGCUGAGGUGCGAAAGCGUGGGGAGCAAACAGG
rnacentral:rRNA from 1 species